rnacentral:rRNA from 1 species
AUUGAACGCUGGCGGCAGGCCUAACACAUGCAAGUCGAACGGUAACAGGAAGAAGCUUGCUUCUUUGCUGACGAGUGGCGGACGGGUGAGUAAUGUCUGGGAAACUGCCUGAUGGAGGGGGAUAACUACUGGAAACGGUAGCUAAUAACGCAUAACGUCGCAAGACCAAAAAGGGGGACCUUCGGGCCUCUUGCCAUCGGAUGUGCCCAGAUGGGAUUAGCUAGUAGGUGGGGUAACGGCUCACCUAGGCGACGAUCCCUAGCUGGUCUGAGAGGAUGACCAGCCACACUGGAACUGAGACACGGUCCAGACUCCUACGGGAGGCAGCAGUGGGGAAUAUUGCACAAUGGGCGCAAGCCUGAUGCAGCCAUGCCGCGUGUAUGAAGAAGGCCUUCGGGUUGUAAAGUACUUUCAGCGGGGAGGAAGGGAGUAAAGUUAAUACCUUUGCUCAUUGACGUUACCCGCAGAAGAAGCACCGGCUGACUCCGUG